rnacentral:rRNA from 2 species
AGAGUUUGAUCAUGGCUCAGAUUGAACGCUGGCGGCAGGCCUAACACAUGCAAGUCGAGCGGUAGCACAGAGAGCUUGCUCUCGGGUGACGAGCGGCGGACGGGUGAGUAAUGUCUGGGAAACUGCCUGAUGGAGGGGGAUAACUACUGGAAACGGUAGCUAAUACCGCAUAACGUCGCAAGACCAAAGUGGGGGACCUUCGGGCCUCAUGCCAUCAGAUGUGCCCAGAUGGGAUUAGCUAGUAGGUGGGGUAACGGCUCACCUAGGCGACGAUCCCUAGCUGGUCUGAGAGGAUGACCAGCCACACUGGAACUGAGACACGGUCCAGACUCCUACGGGAGGCAGCAGUGGGGAAUAUUGCACAAUGGGCGCAAGCCUGAUGCAGCCAUGCCGCGUGUGUGAAGAAGGCCUUCGGGUUGUAAAGCACUUUCAGCGGGGAGGAAGGCGNCGAUUGACGUUACCCGCAGAAGAAGCACCGGCUAACUCCGUGCCAGCAGCCGCGGUAAUACGGAGGGUGCAAGCGUUAAUCGGAAUUACUGGGCGUAAAGCGCACGCAGGCGGUCUGUCAAGUCGGAUGUGAAAUCCCCGGGCUCAACCUGGGAACUGCAUUCGAAACUGGCAGGCUAGAGUCUUGUAGAGGGGGGUAGAAUUCCAGGUGUAGCGGUGAAAUGCGUAGAGAUCUGGAGGAAUACCGGUGGCGAAGGCGGCCCCCUGGACAAAGACUGACGCUCAGGUGCGAAAGCGUGGGGAGCAAACAGGAUUAGAUACCCUGGUAGUCCACGCCGUAAACGAUGUCGAUUUGGAGGUUGUGCCCUUGAGGCGUGGCUUCCGGAGCUAACGCGUUAAAUCGACCGCCUGGGGAGUACGGCCGCAAGGUUAAAACUCAAAUGAAUUGACGGGGGCCCGCACAAGCGGUGGAGCAUGUGGUUUAAUUCGAUGCAACGCGAAGAACCUUACCUGGUCUUGACAUCCACAGAACUUUCCAGAGAUGGAUUGGUGCCUUCGGGAACUGUGAGACAGGUGCUGCAUGGCUGUCGUCAGCUCGUGUUGUGAAAUGUUGGGUUAAGUCCCGCAACGAGCGCAACCCUUAUCCUUUGUUGCCAGCGGUUAGGCCGGGAACUCAAAGGAGACUGCCAGUGAUAAACUGGAGGAAGGUGGGGAUGACGUCAAGUCAUCAUGGCCCUUACGACCAGGGCUACACACGUGCUACAAUGGCAUAUACAAAGAGAAGCGACCUCGCGAGAGCAAGCGGACCUCAUAAAGUAUGUCGUAGUCCGGAUUGGAGUCUGCAACUCGACUCCAUGAAGUCGGAAUCGCUAGUAAUCGUAGAUCAGAAUGCUACGGUGAAUACGUUCCCGGGCCUUGUACACACCGCCCGUCACACCAUGGGAGUGGGUUGCAAAAGAAGUAGGUAGCUUAACCUUCGGGAGGGCGCUUACCACUUUGUGAUUCAUGACUGGGGUGAAGUCGUAACAAGGUAACCGUAGGGGAACCUGCGGUUG